UACUGAGGCUUGAGGAAGACGUCCAUUUGAUGCCAGACUGUUAAUGAGAUUGGUGUCUCAGUAUGGAAAUGUCUUGAUACACGCUCAAUCAUCCAGACCUGGGGUGUGAGUAAAAAGGAGGAUUAAGGAUCUGUUGAACUGGCGGAGUGUCGUAACUGAGGAGUUAUGGAUCAGACGGCUUGAAGGUUCCGCUAUCGCUGGCAACUUGAUGUUCUAAUUGUAAAAAGACAAAAACGCACUGAACUUGGAUUCUGAGUCUGUGUUUUCAGUCAGAAAACCUCAAACAUGACAGAUAAGUUUCCUUAGAAGUGCAGUAUGCAGAUGAUCUGAUGGAUCCAAAAAUGAAUAACUCCAGU